rnacentral:rRNA from 1 species
CCUACGGGGGGCACGAAUGUCCAGGUCAGGUUUUCAGACAGGGUCGACAUAGGAGACGUAAGGAAGGCCCUUGAAUCGGGCGGGAUAAGCGAUGUCCAGAUCCAGGAAGUGAGCGGGACGCGCGACUUUUUUAUCAAGACGAAGCUGUCGGACACGGAGAAGGAAUCAGUCUCAGCCAGGAUAACCGGAAUCCUUUCCGCGCAAUUGAAAGGUGCAAAAUUUGAACUGCUCGGAAGUAACAUGGUCGGGCCGGGUGUCGGCAAGUCACGCAAAAAAUAUGCGAUCAUCGCCAUAGUGCUCGCAUUGCUUGGAAUUAUCAUCUACAUCGCGUGGCGAUUCACCUUCGUAUCAGGUAUAGCCGCAACAAUAGCAACCUUCCAUGACGUUCUGGUGAUCUGCGGGGUCUUCUAUUUUCUCGGCAAGGAAUUCAAUCUGCUUAUCAUUACAGCCCUAUUGACGAUACCCGAGUAGUC